CUUGGAUUGGACCUGGAAGUGAUAGUGCUUUGGUUUUCACAGGUGAAUCUCAUGAACAGCUAGAAUUGAAGACCCCAGCCUCCUGGAUCAUGAACUCCAUCCUGGAAGACUGGAUCCUGGGACUUGGCACAUAUCUCCAGAAUUCUGCAGAGGGGAGAUACUGUAAAAAGGAUUGGGGACAAAAUGCAGGGUUGGGGGUUGUGCUUUUUAAUCUUCUUUUACAUGAUGAGCUUAUGCAUGGAAAUUCAUUGGAGAUAAAGCUUUUGCUAACUAAAAAUCUGAAAACCGUCGGUGUGUGUAUUUAUUGUAAUUCAUUUUUUUUUUUUUUGCAGUGCUGGGGAUCCAACCCAGGGCUUCACACAUGCUAGGCAGGCAAGUGCUCUAUCACUGGAUUAUAUCCCCAGCCUCUGAAAACGACUUUUAUAGUUUAAUUUUCCCUUAGAUGUCUAAAUCCCACAUCCCAUCCUUUACUCCACUCAAUGUCUCCCUGGCCACUUCUGUCCCCAUCUCUCUCUCAGGCAGGCUGGCAGAGGAACCAGCACCCAGACUUCUUGUUCUCUACAAGGAACUUUCAUUGUAUACCAUACCUUGCUUCCUGACCAAUUCUCUUGCCCCAGUUUCAAUUUCAUCUUUAGUGCUUCUUUUCUCUUUGGGUUGAAGAUAUUUAUCAUGUCAACAAAUAUCUUUGUACUACUCUGAACACUGAAAACCUACAUUUUGUUGGAGUUCUAUAAGGGUGUAGGCCUUUUUGCUUCAAGUGCUGGGGAUUAAACCCACAAGUACUCUAUCACUGAGCUACAUUCCCAGCUUUUAACUAAU
rnacentral:lncRNA from 1 species